rnacentral:rRNA from 1 species
GGGUUGUGAGGUUAAGCGACUAAGCGUACACGGUGGAUGCCUUGGCAGUCAGAGGCGAUGAAGGGCGUGCUAAUCUGCGAUAAGCGCCGGUAAGGUGAUAUGAACCGUUAUAACCGGCGAUACCCGAAUGGGGAAACCCAGUGUGACUCGUCACACUAUCAUUAACUGAAUCCAUAGGUUAAUGAGGCGAACCGGGGGAACUGAAACAUCUAAGUACCCCGAGGAAAAGAAAUCAACCGAGAUUCCCCCAGUAGCGGCGAGCGAACGGGGAGGAGCCCAGAGCCUGAAUCAGCAUGUGUGUUAGUGGAAGCGUCUGGAAAGGCGCGCGAUACAGGGUGACAGCCCCGUACACAAAAGCGCAUGUGCUGUGAGCUCGAUGAGUAGGGCGGGACACGUGGUAUCCUGUCUGAAUAUGGGGGGACCAUCCUCCAAGGCUAAAUACUCCUGACUGACCGAUAGUGAACCAGUACCGUGAGGGAAAGGCGAAAAGAACCCCGGCGAGGGGAGUGAAAAAGAACCUGAAACCGUGUACGUACAAGCAGUGGGAGCCCCACCACUAAGCCAGUGGUGAACUCCACAUCCGCAUCCUUUGCUGAGGAUACGGUUAACGGAGCGAAAGCGACGUUCAACCGCAAAACAAGCAGAGGGGGCUUAGUGGUGGGGUGACUGCGUACCUUUUGUAUAAUGGGUCAGCGACUUAUAUUCUGUAGCAAGGUUAACCGAAUAGGGGAGCCGGAGGGAAACCGAGUCUUAAUUGGGCGUUAAGUUGCAGGGUAUAGACCCGAAACCCGGUGAUCUAGCCAUGGGCAGGUUGAAGGUUGGGUAACACUAACUGGAGGACCGAACCGACUAAUGUUGAAAAAUUAGCGGAUGACCUGUGGCUGGGGGUGAAAGGCCAAUCAAACCGGGAGAUAGCUGGUUCUCCCCGAAAGCUAUUUAGGUAGCGCCUCGUGAAUUCAUCUCCGGGGGUAGAGCACUGUUUCGGCUAGGGGGCCAUCCCGGCUUACCAACCCGAUGCAAACUGCGAAUACCGGAGAAUGUUAUCACGGGAGACACACGGCGGGUGCUAACGUCCGUCGUGAAGAGGGAAACAACCCAGACCGCCAGCUAAGGUCCCAAAGUCAUGGUUAAGUGGGAAACGAUGUGGGAAGGCCCAGACAGCCAGGAUGUUGGCUUAGAAGCAGCCAUCAUUUAAAGAAAGCGUAAUAGCUCACUGGUCGAGUCGGCCUGCGCGGAAGAUGUAACGGGGCUAAACCAUGCACCGAAGCUGCGGCAGCGACGCUGAUGCGUUGUUGGGUAGGGGAGCGUUCUGUAAGCCUGCGAAGGUGACCUGUGAGGGUUGCUGGAGGUAUCAGAAGUGCGAAUGCUGACAUAAGUAACGAUAAAGCGGGUGAAAAGCCCGCUCGCCGGAAGACCAAGGGUUCCUGUCCAACGUUAAUCGGGGCAGGGUGAGUCGACCCCUAAGGCGAGGCCGAAAGGCGUAGUCGAUGGGAAACGGGUUAAUAUUCCCGUACUUGGUGUUACUGCGAAGGGGGGACGGAGAAGGCUAUGUUGGCCGGGCGACGGUUGUCCCGGUUUAAGCGUGUAGGUGUGUGUUCCAGGUAAAUCCGGUUCACUUUAACACUGAGGCGUGAUGACGAGGCACUACGGUGCUGAAGCAACAAAUGCCCUGCUUCCAGGAAAAGCCUCUAAGCAUCAGGUAACAUCAAAUCGUACCCCAAACCGACACAGGUGGUCAGGUAGAGAAUACCAAGGCGCUUGAGAGAACUCGGGUGAAGGAACUAGGCAAAAUGGUGCCGUAACUUCGGGAGAAGGCACGCUGACACGUAGGUGAAGUGAUUUACUCAUGGAGCUGAAGUCAGUCGAAGAUACCAGCUGGCUGCAACUGUUUAUUAAAAACACAGCACUGUGCAAACACGAAAGUGGACGUAUACGGUGUGACGCCUGCCCGGUGCCGGAAGGUUAAUUGAUGGGGUCAGCGCAAGCGAAGCUCCUGAUCGAAGCCCCGGUAAACGGCGGCCGUAACUAUAACGGUCCUAAGGUAGCGAAAUUCCUUGUCGGGUAAGUUCCGACCUGCACGAAUGGCGUAAUGAUGGCCAGGCUGUCUCCACCCGAGACUCAGUGAAAUUGAACUCGCUGUGAAGAUGCAGUGUACCCGCGGCAAGACGGAAAGACCCCGUGAACCUUUACUAUAGCUUGACACUGAACAUUGAGCCUUGAUGUGUAGGAUAGGUGGGAGGCUUUGAAGUGUGGACGCCAGUCUGCAUGGAGCCGACCUUGAAAUACCACCCUUUAAUGUUUGAUGUUCUAACGUGGACCCGUAAUCCGGGUUGCGGACAGUGUCUGGUGGGUAGUUUGACUGGGGCGGUCUCCUCCUAAAGAGUAACGGAGGAGCACGAAGGUUGGCUAAUCCUGGUCGGACAUCAGGAGGUUAGUGCAAUGGCAUAAGCCAGCUUGACUGCGAGCGUGACGGCGCGAGCAGGUGCGAAAGCAGGUCAUAGUGAUCCGGUGGUUCUGAAUGGAAGGGCCAUCGCUCAACGGAUAAAAGGUACUCCGGGGAUAACAGGCUGAUACCGCCCAAGAGUUCAUAUCGACGGCGGUGUUUGGCACCUCGAUGUCGGCUCAUCACAUCCUGGGGCUGAAGUAGGUCCCAAGGGUAUGGCUGUUCGCCAUUUAAAGUGGUACGCGAGCUGGGUUUAGAACGUCGUGAGACAGUUCGGUCCCUAUCUGCCGUGGGCGCUGGAGAACUGAGGGGGGCUGCUCCUAGUACGAGAGGACCGGAGUGGACGCAUCACUGGUGUUCGGGUUGUCAUGCCAAUGGCACUGCCCGGUAGCUAAAUGCGGAAGAGAUAAGUGCUGAAAGCAUCUAAGCACGAAACUUGCCCCGAGAUGAGUUCUCCCUGAGACUUUAGGUCUCCUGAAGGAACGUUGAAGACGACGACGUUGAUAGGCCGGGUGUGUAAGCGCAGCGAUGCGUUGAGCUAACCGGUACUAAUGAACCGUGAGGCUUAACCUUACAACGCCGAAG